UACGGAGGGUGCAAGCGUUAUCCGGAUUCACUGGGUUUAAAGGGUGCGUAGGCGGGCAGGUAAGUCCGUGGUGAAAUCUCUGAGCUUAACUCAGAAACUGCCAUGGAUACUAUUUGUCUUGAAUGAUUGUGGAGGUAAGCGGAAUAUGUCAUGUAGCGGUGAAGUGCUUAGAUAUGACAUAGAACACCAAUUGCGAAGGCAGCUUACUACACAAUAUUGACGCUGAGGCACGAAAGCGUGGGGAUCAAACAGG
rnacentral:rRNA from 1 species